UACGGGGGGAGCAAGCGUUGUUCGGAUUUACUGGGCGUAAAGGGCGCGUAGGCGGCGCAACAAGUCACUUGUGAAAUCUCCGGGCUUAACCCGGAGCGGCCAAGUGAUACUGUCGUGCUAGAGUGCGGAAGGGGCAAUCGGAAUUCUUGGUGUAGCGGUGAAAUGCGUAGAUAUCAAGAGGAACACCUGAGGUGAAGACGGGUUGCUGGGCUGACACUGACGCUGAGGCGCGAAAGCCAGGGGAGCAAACGGG
rnacentral:rRNA from 1 species